AAUUUUCAAUAAUUGUAUGUAAAUAAUUAAAAAUUCUCCACUGAAUUGGUUCAAUUUUAUGGUGAGGGGAAUAAGGGUUUUGCUGCUGGACAUCAAAAAGUUUAAAUAAUUAACUGAAGGAGAUGACAAAAUGAAGAAUGAAAGUUUAUUUAACUCCUCCGUCUCUUCUCUGUGUUCUAAGUUGGAGUUUUUUUAAAUCAAAUUCUUAGGUUAAGGAAAAAUUAUAUUGAUUUUUGAAGUGGGUGUUCAGGUUAUUUUGUGGAUUUCAAGAAGAUGAAUCUUUUGAUGGAUUAUCAACACCAAGUUUUUGAGUGUUUGAAAAAAAAUUGUGUUUUCCCGAAAACCUAAUUUUAGAUUGCAUAAACGAAUAGAAAUAACUUGUUCUAUACUACUAGGAGAAGAAGAUCUGUCGUCACGGGGAUUUAUCUUCAUGCAAUCGUCGAGAUUGACGUGUACAAGUGGGAGCCAGAGGAUUUGCCUGAUUUGAAUUCGUAGAUUCUGUUAGGAGAUUUUGAUAAGUUUUUUGUAUAGUAAACUUGAUUUGAUCACCUGGUUGCUGGUUCUUUAAUUCUGAUGUUGUGAUUUAUCGUGUUGCGGUAUUGAUAUUUUCUGAAUUAUUUUAUUUGUUGGGUUUGUUUUAGGAAUGAAUAUGUAUACUGGUUAAUGUAUCAUAUUCACUUCCUAAAUUGAAACCCGGACACUAAAUUUUAUGUUUGCAAUUUGGACUCUUUCUUUCCACUAAUUAGUGACCAUUCAAUAGAAAUGGUAGAGUCGCAUAAGAUUUAACUUAUUGUCCACAAAGAAAAAAAAU
rnacentral:lncRNA from 1 species